GAGACGGAGUUUCACUCGUACUGCUGCCCAGGCUAUAUAGUGCAAUGGCACCAUCUUGGCUCACCACAACCUCCGCCUCCCAGGUUCAAGCGAUUCUCCUGCCUCAGCCUCCCGAGUAGCUUGGAUUACAGGCAUGCACCGCCACGCCCAGCUAAUUUUGUAUUUUUAGUAAAGAUGGAGUUUCUCCAUGUUGGUCGGGCUGGUCUCAAACUCCCGACCUCAGGUGAUCCUCCCGCCUCGGCCUCCCAAAGUGCUGGGAUUACAGGCAUGAGCCAUGGCACCCGGCCAGGCUGAGAAUUCUUAAGACAGGAUUUUUUAAGGAUAGUUUGGUAAGCAUGGGGCUAGGGGAUGGGUUGAUGUGUUGGGUACUAUGGGGAACGUGGAAGUGGAGAAUAGUGUGGACUUUUGAAAGGAUGUCUGCCUAGGAGUGGAGUUGGGCAUGAGGGCAGGACUAAAAAAGAGUGAGUGAAGGAAAAGGUAUGCAGGGAGCAGAAGAGUGGAGGGGUGGCUCGGGGUUUGGAGACUUGCCCGUCAAUUCCCACAACAGAGACUUGGGAGGACUGGGUGGGUCCUGAAAAAUUAGGUAAAGCAGAGUAGGUUGCCCGGUAUUAAAUAAGAAAAAAUACUGGCCUACCUGCCACCAUCAGGGUUACCCUUGUCUUAGAUGAAGCAAUGGUAGUUGCCGGGGCGUCCAUUCCAGGGCCCCAUCAGUCUUCAGUGGCAAGGCCAGUGAGAUCCGAGUAGGAGGUUUUGGCCAGCUCAGGAAGGGAUGGGAGUGGUCCUUGUGGGGGCCGCUCACAGUCCAACUUCCAGUGGGGUCCUCUGCAGAGGGGGCAUGGCCUGAUGGGCUUACCUGGGUUUGGGCAUUGUCUAGACCAGUGGCCUUCAUUGCCAUACUUGAAACAUGCGCCAGGUGGAGGUGGAUUGCUAGGAGGCUUCUGUGUGGAGCUGCGGCCCUGUGGGCCUGCAGGGCCCCGGAUGGCGGAGUCAAGCAUUUGAAACUCUGCAUGUUUUUGCCUUUUAUUUUCCUCAUCACGAUUGUUAAAGACUUUGAAGGCUAAAUUAAGAAGGUCUCGUUGUGGGUUUUGAGAGCCAUCAUCAAGCUUCUGUAGCUUACGCCGAAUAUCGGGGUGGAUUGGGACAUGAACUAAAGGUUUAAAAUAGUGGUUCCUUCUGGGCUGGUUGGGUCUAGGUUGGUAUAUUUUCUCAUGACUUCAGUUAAACAAGAGAGAAAAAGGGCUGUUUUUUCGUCAGGAUCUUGGGGGAUUUCUGAAAGUUUUUCAUAGUUUAUCGCUUUAUGGGCACCCUUUUUGAGUCCUGCAAGGAGACACAAUUGUGGUCUCAAUGGUAGCGUCCAGAGGCCCUGUCUUGAUAAUCCCAGUGGGGGUCCUGGUUGGGGACUGCCUGUGCGCCAGUAGGCUGGGCAGGAGCUUGGUGAUAAAUUGAUCAGCAUGCCCCUGAGCUAGGGUCCAGAUAUGGUCCCGGUCUUCUGGGGUGAGGGUGGAAGAGAGGAUAACGUAGAGGAUAUGCCAGAUUAGUUCAUAAGACUGGGUAAGGUACUGAAACUCCCUAAUAUAAGAGGUCAGGUCUUCUGGAAAUGAACCCAGUCUUUUGUUAAUUUGAGAGAAAUCAGUGAGGGAGAAGGGAACAUGAACUCUAACAAUACCUUCAGUUCCUGCUACUUCCUGAAGAGGGCACUCUAGCACAGGCACUAAAGUAAGGGUGGGGCAUGGCCAAACAUGGCACCUGAACAAGUGUGGAUGGGAGAGAAGGAAGAACCUGGAAGUGGUUCCUGCUGAGUGUUUGAAGGGGAAAGGGGGAUUGAGUUAACAGGUAGUGGAGGAUAGAUAGGGGCGUAAGGUGGUGGGAUGGGUUUACAAGCCUCAGGAGAAGGCAGUAGGGGAGGAGAAUGGGUACAGGCAAUACUAGAAUUGUCCUGAGGAGGGGGCGGUGUAGGAAAAGAAGCAGAUACUGCUGACUGGGAAGAUGGUGGCUGGGAAGAUGGCGGUUGAGAAGACAACGAGGAGGCUUGGGCUAAAGAAGACGAUUGAGAGGAAGAGGUAGGGGUUGGGAGGGGUGGACAGCAGUCUGCUGGAUCUAACGAGGAAAAAGAGGUAGGGUUGGGAGGAGAAAGACAAUCAGGGUGGCAAGAAUGGAGGAGAAGGAUUUGAACAGGUGAGCAAGAAUUGCAGAGGUCGGGUUGUGAUCUGAGUGCAAAAAGGCCUGGACAUAAGGAAUUUCUCCCCAUUUCUCUAGUCGUUGUCAAUAAUUGCUUAACUCAGUUAAAACUGUAAAGUCGAAUGUUCCAUUUGCGGGCCAUUUGGACCCAUUAUCCAAUUCGUAUUGUGGCCAGACUGAAUUGCAAAAAAAGACAAGGCGCUUAGGGUGGAUAUUUUGCCUGAGGCCUAAGGUUUGCAGGUUUUUUAUGGGGCAGCCUAGAGGGCUGUUUUUUGGAAGGGAGGACCGGGAGUUUCCCAUAACAGAGGGUAGGCUCAGGAGAACAGGGAAAAAGGAGACCGUCCUGGACGGCCAGAGGGAGACAAAAGGAGCAAUCAUCAUCACCGCUGCCUUUUUCAUUCCUGGAACGGGAUCAAAUGGAUUAGAGGCGUCUCCCUAAGACCAGGUGAUGGGAUGAUCAGCGAGUACCUGGCACACGCCGGAGCCUUGCUGGACCGACAUUGGAUUUUUGGACCGUAGACACCAAGAGAGGCCAUGUGGCUUUUCCCUUGUUAACUGGGCUCCUAGGGAAACUUACCAAUAGGCAAGGCCAGUGACCAAUGUGCAUGCACAGAGAGGCAACUGGAGGCUGAGGAGCUUCCUUUGUCCUGCUGCUGUGGCCUGUUCUCCAGGGUGGAGGGGUAGGUCCAUGGGGGAUGUGGACCAGAGCCCCUCCCCGGUUUCGGCACUAGAUGUAAGGUUCUUGUGUUGGUUCAAACCCUGAGAGCACGCCAAAAGACAACACGAAGUGGUGUGGAGCAGCAACAUGCUGUUUUAAUGAGCACAGUGUUUUUCUAGAUAUUGUUAACCAAGAUAAGGAAUCCCUAAAGAGAGGCAGGCUUGAUUUAGAGCUGUCUGAGGGCUUCCAAAAGAGCUGUUCAGUGAAUAAGAAGGAAUCCAACCAUGGAGCAUCAGAGUCUAAGUUGGAUGUAUAGGUUUGUGUGUCUUCAGUAUUGUCUUGUAUUUUAAGACAGAAUUAGAUGUGCCCAUCAGAAAUGAGUGUAUGGCAUGAAAAAGUUGCAGAUGACACAGUAACAGUCUGAUCUCUCUUUCUUUCCCCCACAAUGCUUGUUUGAGGACAUGUAUUAUCACCAGAGAGGACUUGAAACUGCAUAACAAACCGUACUUGCCAGACAUUUCCUAAUCACCUUCUCACUGUUUACUCCCUCCCCCUAUAAUCGAUAAUCGCAAAGCUUCCUUUCCCUUUGACUAUUCUAUUCUCUUCACAAUUUAUCACCCCUUGUUAAAUGGUAUAUAAGCCCCCAGCCCUAAACUCCUACUUGGGUUUUCACUUCUCUUUUGUGAAGCCUCAUUAUGUAUGCAAAAUAAAAUUUUUCUACUGUUAAUCUGUCGUUUAUCAGUUUAAGUGACAGGCUGGGGCUGGGCGCCGUGGCUCACGCCUGUAAUCCCAGCACUUUCGGGAGGCCGAGGUGGCCGGAUCACGAGGUCAGGAGAUCGAGACCAUCCUGGCUAACACAGUGAAACCCCGUCUCUACUAAAAAAUACAAAAAAUUAGACGGGCGUGGGCCGGUCGCGGUGGCUCCCGGCUGUAAUCCUAGCACUUUGGGAGGCCGAGGCGGGCGGAUCACGAGGUCAGGAGAUGGAGACCAUCCUGGCUAACACGGUGAAACCCCGUCUCUACUAAAAAUACAGAAAAUUAGCCGGACGAGGUGGCGGGCCCUGUAGUCCCAGCUACUCGGGAGGCUGAGGCAAGAGAAUGGCGUGAACCCCAGGGGGCGGAGCCUGCAGUGAGCCGAGAUUGCGCCCCACUGCACUCCAGCCUGGGCAACAGCGAGACUACGUCUCAAAAAAAAAAAAAAAAAAAAUUAGCCGGGUGUGGUGGCGGGCGCCUGUAGUCUCAGCUACUCGGCAGGCUGAGGCAGGAGAAUGGCGUGAACCCCGGAGGCAGAGCUUGCAGUGAGCCAAGAUUGUGCCACUGCACUCCAGCCUGGGCGACAGAGCAAGGCUCUGUCUCAAAAAAAAAAAAAAAAGUGACAGGCUCUACACACUGAAUUUAAGAAGGUAGAGGUCGGGUUUUUUCAUCAUCUACAAAGGUACUCUGCUUCUAAAAUGAGUUAGAACAAUGGAUUUGACCACAAUCAGAUGGACAUUAAGGGUAAGAAAGAAAAGUGGCUCAAAGCAGCCUGAGGAAUGUAAAGUAUGCAAAAUUUAUCAGGCUCAGAGAGACUUGAGCAAGAGCCUUCAGUCAUAUCCCUCUCAGCCAUACCCAGGAAUAACUGUUUCAAGGCAUUUUGACAGGGGCGGCGACUCAGCUCUUGCCUGUAAUCCCAGCUACUCAGCAGGCUGAGAUGGGAGGAUCACAUAAGCCCAGGAGUUUGAGACUGCAGCAGGCUAUAAUCAGGCUACUGCAUUUCACCCUGGGCAACGGAGAGAAAACCCAUCUCUAAAAAAGUUAAGAUAAAUAAAAAAUAAAUAAGCAAAAAAUAAAUUUGGAGCCGGGCGCGGUAUCUCAUGCCUGUAAUCCCAGCACUUUGGGAGGCCGAGGUGGGUGGAUCACCUGAGGUCAGGAGUUUGAGACCGGCCUAGCCAACAUGGUGAAACACCAUCUCUACUAAAAAUACAAAAAAUUAGCCAGGUGUGGUGGUGGGCGCCUGUAAUCCUAGCUACUCGGGAGGCCGAGGCAGGAGAAUCGCUUGAACCCAGGAGGUAGAGGUUGCAGUGAGCCAAGAUCGCACCAUUGCACUCCAGCCUGGGCAACAAGAGCGAAAUUCCAUCUCUAAAUAAAUAAAUAAAUUUUGGUGGUUUUUUUUUUCUUUCCUGUUGUUUCCAGACUAAUAACCUAAAAUGUUACCACAAGUUGGGCAAUGUGAGUCUCACUCAUUACCUUCUUUUUCCUGAAAUUAGUGACAUAAAGAAAAAUGUAUAGCCAACAAUAGCUUAUGUUAUUUUAAUAAACCAAUGUAAAAUUU
rnacentral:lncRNA from 1 species